GACGAACGCUGGCGGCGUGCUUAACACAUGCAAGUCGAACGGAAAGGCCCUGCUUUUGUGGGGUGCUCGCGUGGCGAACGGGUGAGUAACACGUGAGUAACCUGCCCUUGACUUUGGGAUAACUUCAGGAAACUGGGGCUAAUACCGGAUAGGAGCUCCUGCUGCAUGGUGGGGGUUGGAAAGUGUCGGCGGUGGGGGAUGGACUCGCGGCUUAUCAGCUUGUUGGUGGGGUAGUGGCUUACCAAGGCUUUGACGGGUAGCCGGCCCGAGAGGGUGACCGGCCACAUUGGGACUGAGAUACGGCCCAGACUCCUACGGGAGGCAGCAGUGGGGAAUAUUGCACAAUGGGCGGAAGCCUGAUGCAGCAACGCCGCGUGCGGGAUGACGGCCUUCGGGUUGUAAACCGCUUUCGCCUGUGACGAAGCGUGAGUGACGGUAAUGGGUAAAGAAGCACCGGCUAACUACGUG
rnacentral:rRNA from 1 species